GGCCGGAUAGCUCAGUUGGUAGAGCACCGGAACAGCAAUCCGGAGGUCGCAGGUUCAAAUCAUGUCCCCAGUCA